UGACUUCUAGGGCGAGUCUGUCGGAAUACCUCAGAGUCUCAUGUACCUUCAUGUUCCUCUGGGACUUGUCAUUCCUUCCCUAGAUUGGCAGCUGGCCUAGGUCGUGGGAGGGGACCGAGUCUUUCAGAAACCCUUGGGUCAUUGAUCUUCGAGCAUAUGUGGAGGGGAUUCUUUCGACGUUGCUUUAGGAAGUCUCGGCAGUCACGAUAAACGGCUUUCGAUCAUUCCAACCCUUCUGCAAAGAGGUGUCUUUCUCCUGCUUCGGGUCGAAGCAGCUGGGUUGAGAGAAGUCUCGCGUUGAUCAAUGUUUUGAUGAUUAUCUCGCUCCUCGUCAGGGAUACCUAUCUCGAAGAAAGGUAACCCUCCGUGUUGGGGGGCACCCAGAUGAUGGUUGAUAUCCACAGGGGCAACAAGCUCGCAUGUUUGAGUAUGCCUAGUUUCGUGGAACGUCUCAAAGAGCUUCUCAUACUGCUCGGGAGGACCUCAUUGCUAUCUUGUUGUUCUGAGCUUCUAGCUCAUCGGCUUUAGCUUGAAGAGCAACCCUUUUUCCUUCAUUCUUUCGUUUCUUCGCACUAUGUGUAAGAGGGGUGUCAUUCUGUGUGCUGUGGCUUCCUUCGCUCCCCAUGUUGGAGAGGGAUGCCUGGUCAAAAAAGAGUGUACGAAUGGUGGAAACCAGCUUGACAAAGCUGAAGAAAGUGGGAAUAAGUGUCGUUCCCACAGACGACGUCAAAUGUUGAUGCACAAAAUCAGUGAGGACUUUGGUACAACAAAAAGUGUUAAGUUUGUGACCUUCACUAGAUUGCUCCGGUCACUAGUGUGGAUAAGUAUGUAAAUGGAUAGGGACAGGGAAGCAAAGACAAGAUGUACGUGGUUCACCCAGAUUGGCUACGUCCACGGAGUAGAGGAGUUCUCAUUAAUUGUGAAGGGUUUACACAAAUACAUAGGUUCAAGCUCUCCUUUAGUGAGUACAAGUGAAUAAUUUAGUACAAAUGACAUUAGGAAAUAUUGUGAGAGAAUGAUCUCUAUUUAUAGAAGAGAGUUUCUAGUUU
rnacentral:lncRNA from 1 species